rnacentral:lncRNA from 1 species
UUUUUCUAAUGGUGUAUAGAUCGGUUUUUGGUAAAGAAAACUUGAAAUUUCACUUUUAGGGUUAGGAUAUUCUAGCUAUUUAUGAUUGUAUAUCACAAAAUUUAAUAUGAAAAAUAUGAUUCGAUAUAUCAAUAACUAUCUGAUCUUGAUUACAUUUCUAUAUAUAUCUAUAUCUUGAUUAUUUACCAUAUAUAAUCAUACUGAAUUGUCUCACAGUCUCCUCUUAUCCGCUCACCUUUCGUACGAGAAGUUCUAGAUUAGGUUUAGGUCUGUAGGUUACGGAAAUAGAACCUGCAAAUGACAUUCCAGGAAUCAUUGAAAAUGAAAAUUCACGGAUAAAGGUGGCAAGGACGACCUUAAUUUCCAUCAAAGCAAAUCUGUAGCCGUGGCUCUCGUGCAGUCUAAAUUGAAUUGCCCUUCUUCGACCGUUAGAGUAAUCGCGGUAAUUACAGGCUCUAUUUCUAAUUCAGUAAUUAGUAUGAUUUUCUAGCUCUAUUUCGAGUUUUGGGAAUUUAAACUUCCAAAAAGUGCUGAUUUUGCAGAAAUUAUGCACAUUUCUUUCUCAUUUUUGAGCGUUUAUAAAUCAGAAAAUCAUAGUAUUCCCUCGAUUUUUUUUAUUCACUUUUUAUUCAGUUUUUUCUAAAGGCGUAUGGAUCAGUUUUUGAUAAAGAUAAACUUGAGAUUGCACUUUUAGGGUUAGGAUGUUCUAGCUGUUUAUGAUUGUAUAUCACAAAAUUUAAUAUGAAAAAUAUGAUUCGAUAUAUCAAUAAUUAUCUGAUCCUGAUUACAUUUCUAUGUAUAUCCAUAUCCUGAUUAUUUACCAUAUAUAAUCAUAUACUGAAUUGUCUCACAGUCUCCUCUUAUCCGCUCACC